UAGGGAAUCUUCGGCAAUGGGGGCAACCCUGACCGAGCAACGCCGCGUGAGUGAAGAAGGUUUUCGGAUCGUAAAGCUCUGUUGUAAGAGAAGAACGUGUGUGAGAGUGGAAAGUUCACACAGUGACGGUAACUUACCAGAAAGGGACGGCUAACUACGUGCCAGCAGCCGCGGUAAUACGUAGGUCCCGAGCGUUGUCCGGAUUUAUUGGGCGUAAAGCGAGCGCAGGCGGUUUAAUAAGUCUGAAGUUAAAGGCAGUGGCUUAACCAUUGUUCGCUUUGGAAACUGUUAAACUUGAGUGCAGAAGGGGAGAGUGGAAUUCCAUGUGGAGCGGUGAAAUGCGUAGAUAUAUGGGGGAAAACCGGUGGCGAAAGCGGCUCUCUGGUCUGUAACUGACGCUGAGGCUCGAAAGCGUGGGGAGCAAACAGG
rnacentral:rRNA from 1 species